GAUGAACGCCGACAGAAUGCUUAACACAUGCAAGUCUUUGGCGAAUCUGUGCUUGCACAGGCUAGCCAAGGCGGACGGGUGAGUAACGCGUAAAGAACUUGCCCUGCGGACAGGGAUAACAGACGGAAACGACUGAUAACACCUGAUACAGUUGCCGGCACGCAUGUGCCUGGCAAUGAAAAGAGAUGCUGCAGGAGAGCUUUGCGUCCUAUUAGCUUGUUGGUGAGGUGACGGCUCACCAAGGCGAUGAUAGGUAGCCGGCCUGAGAGGGUGAACGGCCACAAGGGGACUGAGAUACGGCCCUUACUCCUACGGGAGGCAGCAGUGGGGAAUAUUGGACAAUGGGGGCAACCCUGAUCCAGCAAUUCUGUGUGCACGAAGAAGGUUUUCGGAUUGUAAAGUGCUUUCAGCAGGGAAGAAGAAAGUGACGGUACCUGCAGAAGAAGCGACGGCUAAAUACGUG
rnacentral:rRNA from 1 species